rnacentral:rRNA from 1 species
CUCCGGUUGAUCCUGCCGGACCCGACUGCUAUCAGAGUGGGACUAAGCCAUGCGAGUCAACAUAGCAAUAUGUGGCAUACGGCUCAGUAACACGUAGUCAACAUGCCCAGGGGACGUGGAUAACCUCGGGAAACUGAGGAUAAACCGCGAUAGGUCAUCACUUCUGGAAUGGGUAAUGACUUAAAUCUAUAUGGCCCCUGGAUUGGACUGCGGCCGAUCAGGCUGUUGGUGAGGUAAUGGCCCACCAAACCUGUAACCGGUACGGGCUCUGAGAGGAGGAGCCCGGAGAUGGGCACUGAGACAAGGGCCCAAGCCCUAUGGGGCGCAGCAGGCGCGAAACCUCUGCAAUAGGCGAAAGCUUGACAGGGUUACUCUGAGUGAUUUCCGUUAAGGAGAUCUUUUGGCACCUCUAAAAAUGGUGCAGAAUAAGGGGUGGGCAAGUCUGGUGUCAGCCGCCGCGGUAAUACCAGCACCCCGAGUGGUCGGGACGUUUAUUGGGCCUAAAGCAUCCGUAGCCGGUUCUACAAGUCUUCCGUUAAAUCCACCUGCUUAACAGAUGGGCUGCGGAAGAUACUAUAGAGCUAGGAGGCGGGAGAGGCAAGCGGUACUCGAUGGGUAGGGGUAAAAUCCGUUGAUCCAUUGAAGACCACCAGUGGCGAAGGCGGCUUGCCAGAAUGCGCUCGACGGUGAGGGAUGAAAGCUGGGGGAGCAAACCGGAUUAGAUACCCGGGUAGUCCCAGCCGUAAACGAUGCAGACUCGGUGAUGGGUUGGCUUCGCGCUAACCCAGUGCCGCAGGGAAGCCGUUAAGUCUGCCGCCUGGGUAGUACGGUCGCAAGACUGAAACUUAAAGGAAUGGCGGGGGGAGCA